rnacentral:rRNA from 1 species
ACUCCUACGGGAGGCAGCAGUGGGGAAUAUUGCACAAUGGACGCAAGCCUGAUGCAGCCAUGCCGCGUGUAUGAAGAAGGCCUUCGGGUUGUAAAGUACUUUCGAGCAAGUGAGGAGGUGGAUAUGUUAANAGCAUAUUCAUUUAGACGUUAGCUGCAGAAGAAGCACCGGCUAACUCCGUGCCAGCAGCCGCGGUAAUACGGAGGGUGCGAGCGUUAAUCGG